rnacentral:rRNA from 1 species
GACGAACGCUGGCGGCGUGCUUAACACAUGCAAGUCGAGCGAUGAAGCCCCUUCGGGAGUGGAUUAGCGGCGGACGGGUGAGUCACACGUGGGUAACCUGCCUCCUAGAGGGGAAUAGCCUUUCGAAAGGAAGCUUAAUACCGCCUAAGAUUGUAGCACCGCAUGGUACAGCAAUUAAAGGAGUAAUCCGCUAUGAGAUGGACCCGCGUCGCAUUAGCUAGUUGGUGAGGUAACGGCUCACCAAGGCGACGAUGCGUAGCCGACCUGAGAGGGUGAUCGGCCACAGUGGGACUGAGACACGGCCCAGACUCCUACGGGAGGCAGCAGUGGGGAAUAUUGCACAAUGGGGGAAACCCUGAUGCAGCAACGCCGCGUGAGUGAUGACGGUCUUCGGAUUGUAAAGCUCUGUCUUUAGGGACGAUAAUGACGGUACCUAAGGAGGAAGCCACGGCUAACUACGUGCCAGCCGCCGCGGUAACAC